rnacentral:tRNA from 1 species
GGCGAGGUAGCUCAGUUGGUUAGAGCGUCGGAUUCAUAACCCGGAGGCCGAGAGUUCAAAUCUCUCCCUCGCUA